rnacentral:rRNA from 1 species
UGGGGAAUAUUGCACAAUGGGCGCAAGCCUGAUGCAGCCAUGCCGCGUGUGUGAAGAAGGCCUUCGGGUUGUAAAGCACUUUCAGCGGGGAGGAAGGCGUUAAGGUUAAUAACCUUGGCGAUUGACGUUACCCGCAGAAGAAGCACCGGCUAACUCCGUGCCAGCAGCCGCGGUAAUACGGAGGGUGCAAGCGUUAAUCGGAAUUACUGGGCGUAAAGCGCACGCAGGCGGUUGAUUGAGUCAGAUGUGAAAUCCCCGGGCUUAACCCGGGAAUUGCAUCUGAUACUGGUCAGCUAGGGUCUUGUAGAGGGGGGUAGAAUUCCACGUGUAGCGGUGAAAUGCGUAGAGAUGUGGAGGAAUACCGGUGGCGAAGGCGGCCCCCUGGACAAAGACUGACGCUCAGGUGCGAAAGCGUGGGGAGCAAACAGG